AUUGAACGCUGGCGGCAGGCCUAACACAUGCAAGUCGAGCGGAUGAAGGGAGCCUGCUCCUGGAUUCAGCGGCGGACGGGUGAGUAAUGCCUAGGAAUCUGCCUGGUAGUGGGGGAUAACGUCCGGAAACGGGCGCUAAUACCGCAUACGUCCUGAGGGAGAAAGUGGGGGAUCUUCGGACCUCGCGCUAUCAGAUGAGCCUAGGUCGGAUUAGCUAGUUGGUGGGGUAAAGGCCUACCAAGGCGACGAUCCGUAACUGGUCUGAGAGGAUGAUCAGUCACACUGGAACUGAGACACGGUCCAGACUCCUACGGGAGGCAGCAGUGGGGAAUAUUGGACAAUGGGCGAAAGCCUGAUCCAGCCAUGCCGCGUGUGUGAAGAAGGUCUUCGGAUUGUAAAGCACUUUAAGUUGGGAGGAAGGGCAGUAAGUUAAUACCUUGCUGUUUUGACGUUACCAACAGAAUAAGCACCGGCUAACUUCGUG
rnacentral:rRNA from 1 species